rnacentral:misc_RNA from 1 species
GGUGAAGAACGUAGUGAAAGUGCGAAACGUAAUGUGAAUUGCAGAAUUCAGUGAAUCAUCGAAUCUUUGAACGCACAUUGCGCCCGCCAGUAUUCUGGCGGGCAUGCCUGUUCGAGCGUCAUUUCAACCAUCAAGCCUUCGCUUGUGUUGGGGCCCCGCGGCUGCCGCGGUCCCCUAAAUCCAGUGGCGGGCUCGUCGUCGUACCGAGCGCAGUAGACAUCCUCGCUCCGGGAACCCGACGGGUGCCGGCCGUGAAACCCCCCCACAUCAAGGUUGACCUCGGAUCAGGUAGGAAUACCCGCUGAACUUAAGCAUAUCAAUAAGCGGAGGA